UUAAUGUGCUUUAGGCACAAGCAGCACUUCAAGAAAACGUGUUAAGAGAGUGUAAACGUGCUUCAGUCAGUCAAACGGAACAGAGAGUUAAAGAUCUGGAAAUUGAACUAAAAACUGAUUCUAAUGAAAACAGAUUGGAAAAGUACAAGCAACUGUACCUGGAAGAGCUAGAAAAUAGAAAGUCUUUGGCAAGUCAGCUAACCUCGGCUAAUGAGAGGCUGGCCGAGGUGAGCUCUAAGCUUCAGCUGGGGAGACAGCACAAGAGCUCUUUCCCGGGCUUUGCUCCUACAAGGCCUGUUGGCGGACCGCCUUCUGCUGCUGGUACUAGCGCGGAGACUAAAAGGAGUCUUACUCGAAGAGGGUGCUUCAGGACUGUUCCAGACCCUUCAACUAACUAGAGCGAUCCCUUGUUCCGGAUGCUGAAGAAGUUGGAGAAUAAUACAGAUAGAGAAUUAAAAGAAGGUAUGUUGCCAACAUUUCUGAAUUAAAUUUAGGCAUUGAUUUCCGAAAUACACUGUAAAGAGUAAAUGACACCUCAUUCUAUUGUUUGAAUAACAGAUACUAUGUUAAAUUUUUUUCUUACACAUAUCUAAUGAAAAAUGUGAAAGCAUAAUUUCAUUCAUAAUGAUAAGUGUACUUAUUCCUCAUUUAUUCAUCACGAUCCAUAGCUU